AGAUUAACCACUGGCAGGGAGGGGUAUGUGCGGCCUGGCAUCUUUCUCUACUACAAAAGUUUAGAUUUCUACCCCUUGCAAAUACUUAGAAAGUGAACUUUUUUUUUUUUUUGCAAAACAAAAUAAACAAAACUCCACAAUUUUUGCAAAAGUUUCCAUUUUAUUUAGUGUUAAACUAAAAGUUUAUAACAAUGUUCUUAAUCAGUUAAACUGAUAAACACUGUAAAAUGCUUCAUUCAAGUACUUCCAGAUAUGAGUAAUUGAUCAUUCUUUUCCAUUUAAGUUCUACAUGUUUUUAGUAAUUCAAUAGUUUAUAUAAAAUAUGAAUAAACAAUAUUUUACGGCAUUUAUUAUCUACGGAAAAUGGUAAUUUCUACACAUGAGUUUUUACUAUUUAAAACAGAUAAAGUAACAUUUGGUAUUGUAUCAUGAAUGCAAAUUAUUUAAAAUUGAACAGUACAAUAUUUAUAAAUUAACAUUGACAUAAAAAGUUUGAUAACUAAUCCUUUAAUUAAUGUUACAAUUUUAAACCUUACUAUAAAUAUGUAUAUAUAAAUGUAUAGGGUAUUUUCCAUUUUUGUUUGACAAAAUGUUAGCAUUUCUAAAUGUUGGCAUACUAUUUGUAUGUCAGUUUGUAAAUUAUUUAUGAUGUAGCUAAUUGUGACUCUUUUUAUUUAGUCUUACCUUACUAAUAUUUCUCUGUGUUUGUAAUCAACAUACUAAAUGACACCGAUCUUUCUAGUCCCGAUCUUUCACUAUUUACUUUAAAGUGCUACCCAGGUCAAAAUUUCACAUUGCAUUUUGAAAACUAUGAUUUAUAGGCUAAUGUGCUGUUAUAAGACUGGAUGUAACCAAAUUAGAUUUAUUGUAAAUGUCUGUAUAGCCUUCUUUCUUAAUGGAUGGCAUGAUUUCAGCCUGUCAUUUCCCUCACACCUCUGCAGUUGUUCUUUUCUCUCUCUCUUUGUUGGCUUGUACUUCUCAUGUCUCUUUCCCUGUGCCAACUUGCUUUCUGAACGGUUGGCAGCGGGCACUGGCUCUAAUAUGGUCAUGCAGCUGUUGUGGCCCAGAGGCAGACAUUGAUAACAUUCAGUUGACAACAAAUGUUUCUAUACUCGCGCUAUGUGAGCUAGCUUCUAGGUGAGCGCCCACAAUAGACCCACGGCUCUUCUGAGCACAGUGUUUUGCUUUAAGCUUUGUGGACUAUGACAUGAUGUCUAAUAAUACCUGUAUAGUGGGGAAUGGGGUGUGAUGUGUCAUCACUUUGAUCUAGGAAACUGCCUCAAAAUUUGUCAUGUGAAUUAAGGACACUUCAUAUACAGCUGCCAUUGAUUAAGAGAUGCACAUGUAAAAACAAAAUAUUGUAGAAGUAUUUUUUAAUUCUAAAAAAUGUCUUUGAAUAUCAAAAUAAUUAUUCUAUACUAAUGUUAUUUGAAAUUGAAUUUAUCAAGGCAAAAAAAGCGUGAUGAAUUUUCCAUUUAUUUUGGUAAAUGUUAGCUUUUUAAUUAUUACGAGACAUCCGUCCUUAAAAUUAUAACUGUGUCUGAAGCUUGGGGUAAACUGUGACAGUGGUUGAAUUAAUAGUCAUAGUUCCUGAAUUUGAAUGAAAGCCUUAAAGGGUUUCUCCACACCAAAAUAAAGAUUUUGUUUUUAAUCACUUACCCCCAUGUCAUUCCAAGUGGGUGUUCUCCAAAAUGGUGCUCCGGUGAUGUGGAUAGACACAGAGGAGACAAAUUGUUGGAUAAAAUCAUUAUUUUUGUUUUCUUUGCAUACAGAAAGUUUUCUUGUAACUUCAUAACGUUAUGGUUGAACCGCUGAUGGCAGGUGGACUAUACUUUUACAGUCUAAUUUACUUGGCAGUCUAUAGGACAGUCAUAAGCCUCCCAGUUUUUAUCCACAAUAUCUUAAAUUGUGUUCCGAAGAUGAACAAAGCUUUGAUGGGCUUGGAACUACAUAGGGGUAAGUGAUUAAGGACAAAAUGUUCAUUUUGGGGUGGAGUAUCUUUAAUAUUAAAAAGAUAAAGGGAUGGACAGCAUGGAAAUGUAUAUUAAAUAUUACUUGUAGUUGCAGGUGGAAUUCUCUGUCCUCAAGAUUCUAUUGAUUAUAAUGCUUAGUUUGUUCAUUCCAUUAAAGUAAAAUGGAUAUUAUGUUAUGGAUAUUUUUAAACAAACUUUGAACAAAGUUACAUUUUGUAAGUAAAAUAUAGGAUGUCACUUUUUAUAUUAAUAGUAGCAGUAUGUGAAUAAUAACUGAACAUAAAUAAUAAUAAUUAUUUAUUCCCCAGUGACUAAACCUACCGCUUAACAUGACAUAGCUUACCUUUUAACGUUAAAAUAUUUCCAGACAUCCUAAAAUAGCAUUAUGCGUAUUGGUUUUACGUCCUUAAUUACUCCUUGCCUAGAGUACAGCCUGAAAAGUGUCAAGUUAAUGUCAACUAUAUAGACAUCAUUUAUAGCAUUACGUCAUUAUCAUUACUAGAACUAUGAUUAGCGGUAAGGGGAUCAUACCUGUGCGGUGAGACUCACUCUCUCUCUCUCUCUCUCUCUCUCCUUCCCUCUCUCGACAUCUAGCGUCGUCGUCGCAGUGUCUCCCCUCACUCACACAAACCGUGCAGCGGUCCGGUGUCAGAGGCAACACCACUGAUCUCCGUGCGGGACGCCGUUAAGAGCAGAUGGAGAUACUUCAAAAGCCCAUCUCGAGCAGAGAGGACACCGGACCGUUAAAAAAGCCUCUGGAAGACACGAAAGAGCACUGCAAAAGUGACGAUCACAGCGAAACGAAUUAUGUAGACCUGGGCAAUCCAUCGGACAUGAAGUCAGACAGCACAAAGACAGUAAAAGUCACAUUCACAGGCGAAGGGAACCAGCUGGCAAUAUUCAAAUGUAAAGGCGAUGCAUCCAUCUCCGGGAUUAAGAGUCCUGGGGCGCGAGAGGAGACUGGAAAUGCUGAUAAAAGUUCAUCGAAAGACUGUCACGCGGGGAAGUGCCAUUCCGAGGGACUUUAUGGAGGGCGCGCUCCGCUGAUAGAUGACUAUGUGGACGCGGGAACGGAUGCAAAAUCCGAAGAUGCAAAAUCUUCCUCGUAUGAAACGGAGGAGUUACAAUACACCGACAUGUAUUUGAACAGUCGCUGCGAACCCGAGGACAUCGCGAGCGCUGCGGACGUGGAGGCACACUAUAUAACGACGCACGAGAUUCAGCUGACGGAGUUGGAUCACGAUGUGGAUUUCGGGCUUGGACGCGGAUCCUGCUGGGAUUUCGAGGAUGAUAAUCUGGUGUAUUCAUUUGUUGACUACGCAUCAUUUGACAGCGACGAGACGACUCACGGAAGAAUCCAAAGCAAGUCCAAGAGCAAUAAAGUUCCUCUCGCUUCACGCGCAGCGAAGCUUUCCGCCGCGGGGGCUCUGGUCAGCACCGAAAGUGAACUUUGUGAAUCCGACAAAUGUGCCAGCUCGGAUGAGGGCGCCGGACAGCUUGGAAAUUCACCCGGACAUAUUCACCUGUCAAUCAAAACGUCUUCGCGCGCGGUCAACGAUCCCGGCAGUCUGUUAGGACACAGGAAUGUCCGCUUUCACACCAGACGUGCCGGUGAGCGGAGUCAUUAUUCGUUUAAAAGCGCUGACUCCAAAAGCGAGACCAUGUUUGACCGCUACUUCAUCCCUCCUCCGGGUCGCCAGCACCUCGCCAGCAAACUGAGGGGAAAAGACAUUAACGAAUAUUCCAGUGGCGCUUCCAGUUCCGUCAGCGAACUGGAUGAUGCUGAUAAAGAGGUGCGUAACCUCACCGCGCGCUCCUUCCGGAGUUUGGCUUGCCCUUACUUUGAUGCCAUCAAUUUGAGCAGCUCGAGUGAGUCCUCGGUGUCAGAACACGGACUGAGUUUUAACAAAUGGUCCGCGUUAGUCGACUUGAAUUAUGGCACUUUGACACGUGAGGCGCACAAGAACUCUACGCCUGUUAUGGAGGGAAAUAAUAGCACAGAAUCUACAAACAUUAAAGACAUGGUUCAAACUGAUACAACUAGCCCACAGACUAAAAUAGUGGCGCUGAAGAAUAAUUUGAACUCGCAGCAGGCGUCGAAGAAAAUAGAGUUACGAAGCAAACCGGGUGAAACUAUAACACUUACUGAAACCUUGAACUUUAAUUGUAACGUCGGUGCAGGGAUACCUGCGCGCGAGAGGCGUGCGAAACGCGCUUUGAAUGCCACAUUGUCAAGUGCCACAGCCGACGUUACCGGAACCAUGCCAGCCAAGGAGGGGUGUGAAGUAGAAACUCCUAGCGGUAAGACCCCAGAAGAUGCCCACAAGAAAGCCAUCUUUGCCUCUAGUCUUUUGAAAAAUGUUAUUUCCAAGAAAAUGCAGUUCGAGCAAGAGCUUAAAAUGGAAAGAGGUGAAAUAAGCGACACAUAUCCCGUUCCACAAGUGUGCCCUCAUGCUAAGGAUUGCAAAGAGACUGUGAAAAGCUUGGAAAGACAGAUUUCAGAACACUCUCAAGAGGAGAUUGGUGAUGCAACAGACCAGCCGCUAGAGAAUCUGUGUUCCCAUGCUGCUGAGUCACCCUGUGACCCAGAAAUGACCUCUAAAUUAGACUCAAGCGGACUACUAAAGACUCCUUUGACCCCCAGCCAAAAGAGUGCUUUUAAGACCUGGAAAGAUGGAGAGCAGGAAGCAGAAGAUGAUGGAGAAUCUCAGCACGCACUGGAGGAGGAGUCGCCACUGUCAGACACCUCAAUUAGACCUGUGACGGAAAGCAGUGAAAGUGUUGAGGGCGAGGGUAGUAAGAUGAUUAAGAUGUCUCACUUGUAUGUCCCUAGCUCGCAGCUUAUGCCUAAGGAAAAGGAAGCUGUCGGGCUUUCAUUACAUAAUCUGAAAGGGACUGGAGAGCUUGCAGAGUCAGAUGGGGGAGGGUGCAGAAAACUGAGCUCUGACCAGCUCCGUAGCCCUGCGGACACAAACCAAACCUCACCGUGUCAAAAAGCCCCCGAAAUCAAAAUACACCUGCGAAGUGUUAAAGAAAACAAAAACAAUCAGUUCAAUAUCACCAAUCUCUUAAGGCCCAAUAUCAAUCAUAACACCAACACUAAAAAGGCGAUGAGAGAAUCUAAAAGCCAUUUAUUGACCAUAUCAGAAAAAGUGCCACAUUUUAUGGUAAGGGAUAUUAGAGAUAAUAAAUGUAAGUUCCAGACACCUAUUCAUCAGGUUCGAGAUGUGCGCAAAUUGGUAAAAAGCUCAUAUCGGUUUGUAGCGCUAGAAAAUCCUUCCAGUUCAUCAGGGAUGACAUCCACAGCAUUACGAGAGGAGAGCAAACCUGUUAAUAGGGGACCUGACAAGAAACCAUUUCCUACACCAAUGGUAAUAAAAUGCCAGUCUGUGAACACAAAUAAUGCUGCAAAACCCUCCGAGCCUGUUAAUACGGGCGAGAAUGUCGGUGAAAUGGUGAGAUUAUCACCAAAUCUCUCAGAGUGGGCUACUAAAAGUGAAACCUUGCGCACUGGACCCAAAGUGCCUUGUGCUAAGCAACCUGUGAAUGAACAACCAGAGCUUAGCUUAAAAAUUGACGCUAAAGCAUCAAAACAAAAACCAGAAAAAGCAACAGAAGGCAGCGAGAAGAAACCCGAGUCUAAGGUUUCGAAUCAAAUAGCUCUUGAAAAGUUGAAGGCAGCUGUGAAAACUAUGGAGCAACUGUACUUUUUUGAUAGGAACGAAUGGAAGCGCAAAACGCAAGCUCCACGACCAAUCACAGACAGUCACGUGCUGUCACUCAUCACGCGAGAGGAGCAAGGAGUCACAAUCAAAACAGACUUUGAGAAUGAAUAUGGGAAAGCGGACACUAGCUCACAGUUGCACAUUGAAAACUCAACCGCGACAACGUUUUCUGGUGUUGACAAGGAUAAAGCAUGUAUGCCAACAGGUUCUCACGGCCAGGAAGACACGGCUAAGUUUGUAACCCAAAGGGCAGAUUCUUUCAGUGACAAGUGUGUUUUUAGUCUGGGCAGUAGCCUCAAAGCACCGCCACAUAUAAAUACAACAAAUGACAGCACUCCGCAAAUGUUUUCAAGCAAAAACUGCAUCCUCUCCACACAAUCUCACCAAGCUCCUUUGUCGCUGAAAAUCUGUCCUUCUAAAUCGAAAAGUGAGGAAAAGCACCAGAAAGAGCACCAGCAUACAGAUUCUGACAAUUACCUAACAAUCCCUGUCAAAGCUCACGCUUCCGAACUGAAACCCUCACAAGCAUCACACCCAAAGCCUUCCCAUCAGCCCUUGCAACGCUCGCCCAUCGUAAUGGAGUCUUGGUCUCCUGAUAGUCAGACGGCCAUGAUAUAUCACCACGCCAUGCACCUGCCGGCCGUACCUGCUGCUCAACCCCAGCUACUCUGCCUUACCCCCCCAGCGGACCUCCCACCGCCUCACAUCCAGCGCAAGCUCCUGCUGGACCCCUCCACAGGCCAGUACUACUUAGUGGACACCCCUGUGCCCAUGCAGCCAGCCGCCCAACGCUUUUACCAUCCUGAGACUGGUCAGUACUUGGACAUUCCUUUAUCACUCACCCCAGUGCCUGUGUCCGUUUCGCCGGUCGCCCUCGGACCUGCGGCAGCCUAUCCCCCAACCUACUUGGUCUACCCCUCGACCCUGCUUCCACCCCAUCCGCACCCGGUCCCCCAGUCCCAGUCUUCCACCUGCUCGGAGGGAGAAGACACGGUCGAGACGGGAGGCAUGUAUCUGAUCCCCCAGGGCACCGCAGUUCCCAGCAGCACCACUAAACCUGUCAUCAGUAUUACAUCCCAGCAAGGUGCUCGUAUUGUUGCUCCUCCCUCCUUUGACGGCACAACCAUGAGCUUUGUGGUGGAGCAUCGAUAACGGAAGUCCUCAGGGCCAAAAAUAUGCACAGUUAAAGAAACACCCAAAUAAGAUGGUCCGUGUCUGUCUGUCGGAGUCAGUCCUCCCACUUCAUAAAAAAAAAAUUCCCACAUCUGUCUUCAUCAAUUCCUACCCGGUGUUGCCUCUUGAUCUCUGACUUUUACAAUGUUGAAAAGCUAAAGAUGAAAGCAGCUUUACAAACUUUGUGCAACACAUAUGUAGCAUGUAGACUUUUUGAGGCAACUAUCUUUUUGGCCAUCCAGCACUGCAUAGUUAAGGGAAAAUGUUUCUUGUUCAAGUUUUCAUUUUGUUGUAUAAAGUGUUUGUAUUUUUACAUUUUUAUGGACUCCUUUAUACCUGUAGGUAGCAAGUUCUGAUUGAGUAAAGCAUGGCUUGUGUGAAAGAGAGAGAAAUAGAGAAAGAGAUCGAGAAAGAGAAACAUUUUGUGUGGUGCCCAUGUUGUGUGUGUGAGAGAGAGAGACAGAGUAAAUGUGUGUCUUUUUCCUCUCAAUGUGAUGAGAAUUGUUAUUAUAGUGACGGACGGAUCAUUGGGGAGUUCAGUAUAGUGUCAGUGUAAUAAUAAUAAUAAUGCUUGAACUGAAAAUACUUGUACUUUUUAAAAACUGUCUCAAUCUUUAUGUUGCCAAUUACCUCAGUUUGCAGUGCAGGCAUGUUGCUUUCUCUGUUUUACCCCUUCUUUUCCAUCAUCUGUCCUCCCUGUUCAUUUUUUGUCUUUUUUGUUACAUUGAUCAUAUAUUAAAGGUAUAUGGAUCUGCAGGCCAAUCUAUGUACCAAUUUUAGAAGGAAUUCAUUGU